rnacentral:rRNA from 1 species
UACGAAGGGGGCUAGCGUUGCUCGGAAUCACUGGGCGUAAAGGGUGCGUAGGCGGGUCUUUAAGUCAGGGGUGAAAUCCUGGAGCUCAACUCCAGAACUGCCAUUGAAACUGUUAGACUUGAGUACGAGAGAGGUGAGUGGAAUUCCCAGUGUAGAGGUGAAAUUCGUAGAUAUUGGGAAGAACACCAGUGGCGAAGGCGGCUCACUGGCUCGUAACUGACGCUCAGGCGCGACAGCGUGGGGAUCAAACAGG